rnacentral:rRNA from 1 species
AUUGAACGCUGGCGGCAGGCUUAACACAUGCAAGUCGAGCGGAGAGAGGUAGCUUGCUACCGAUCUUAGCGGCGGACGGGUGAGUAAUGCUUAGGAAUCUGCCUAUUAGUGGGGGACAACAUUUCGAAAGGAAUGCUAAUACCGCAUACGUCCUACAGGAGAAAGCAGGGGAUCUUCGGACCUUGCGCUAAUCGAUGAGCCUAAGUCGGAUCAGCUAGUUGGUGGGGUAAAGGCCUAGCAAGGCGACGAUCUGUAGCGGGUCUGAGAGGAUGAUCCGCCACACUGGGACUGAGACACGGCCCAGACUCCUACGGGAGGCAGCAGUGGGGAAUAUUGGACAAUGGGCGGAAGCCUGAUCCAGCCAUGCCGCGUGUGUGAAGAAGGCCUUAUGGUUGUAAAGCACUUUAAGCGAGGAGGAGGCUACUUUAGUUAAUACCUAGAGAUAGUGGACGUUACUCGCAGAAUAAGCACCGGCUAACUCUGUGCCAGCCGCCGCCGUAACAC